rnacentral:rRNA from 1 species
UACGUAGGGUGCAAGCGUUAAUCGGAAUUACUGGGCGUAAAGCGUGCGCAGGCGGUUGUGCAAGACAGAUGUGAAAUCCCCGGGCUUACCACUGGGAAGUUGCAUUUGUGACUGCACGGCUAGAGUGUGUCAGAGGGGGGUAGAAUUCCACGUGUAGCAGUGAAAUGCGUAGAGAUGUGGAGGAAUACCGAUGGCGAAGGCAGCCCCCUGGGCCAAUACGUGACGCUCAUGCACGAAAGCGUGGGGAGCAAACAGG